rnacentral:rRNA from 1 species
CAGCAGCCGCGGUAAUACGUAGGGUGCAAGCGUUAAUCGGAAUUACUGGGCGUAAAGCGCGCGCAGGCGGUCCGCUAAGACAGAUGUGAAAUCCCCGGGCUUAACCUGGGAACUGCAUUUGUGACUGGCGGGCUAGAGUAUGGCAGAGGGGGGUAGAAUUCCACGUGUAGCAGCGAAAUGCGUAGAGAUGUGGAGGAAUACCGAUAGCGAAGGCAGCCCCCUGGGCCAAUACUGACGCUCAUGCACGAAAGCGUGGGGAGCAAACAGGAUUAGAUACCCGCGUAGUCCCUGUCUCUUAUAC